GACGAACGCUGGCGGCGUGGAUUAGGCAUGCAAGUCGAACGACGGACACCUUCGGGUGUUACGGAGUGGCGAACGGGUGAGUAACACGUGAACAAUCUGUCCUUACGUUCCGAAUAAUUGACCGAAAGGUCUUGUAAUGCGGGCGAGGAUGGCGGGAAGGCAUCUUUCUGUCAGGGAAGGCGUCGGGGUAACUCGAUGUCGUGCAAGGAGGAGUUCGCGGCCUAUCAGGUAGUAGGUGGGGAAUGGCCUACCUAGCCGACGACGGGUAGCUGGUCUGAGAGGAUGGUCAGCCACACUGGGACUGAGACACGGCCCAGACUCCUACGGGAGGCAGCAGUUGGGAAUCUUGGACAAUGGGGGAAACCCUGAUCCAGCCAUGCCGCGUGA
rnacentral:rRNA from 1 species